rnacentral:misc_RNA from 1 species
UCAAAACAGCGGCCUUCAGGCCUCGCUGCACCCUUGUCUUUUGCGCACCGUAUUGUUUCCUCGGCGGGCUUGCCUGCCGGUUGGACAUCAUAAAACCUCUUUGUAGUUGCAAUCAGCGUCAGAAAAACAAUAAUUAUUA